rnacentral:rRNA from 1 species
GAUGAACGCUAGCUACAGGCUUAACACAUGCAAGUCGAGGGACCGGCGCACGGGUGAGUAACACGUAUCCAACCUGCCCUUUACUCGGGGAUAGCCUUUCGAAAGAAAGAUUAAUACCCGAUAUAAAGGAUGGGGAUGCGGUCCAUUAGGUUGUUGGUGAGGUAACGGCUCACCAAGCCGUCGAUGGAUAGGGGUUCUGAGAGGAAGGGCCCCCACAUUAGAACUGAGACCCGGUCCAAACUCCUACGAGCGGCAGCAGUGAGGAAUAUUGGUCAAUGGGCGCUAGCCUGACCCAGCCGAUUAGCUUGAAGGAUGAAGGCUUAUGGGUCGUGAACUUCUUUUAUAUUAGAAAAUGUAUUAUAUGGAUAAGGGUCGGAUAACUCCGUGCCAGCAGCCGCGGUAAUUC